CACUAUGGAAAGUCAAGUGCAAUCCUUGCUCUGACUAAGGGCAAGGGUAAGAAACAUAGAAGCAUUUAUACAGUUUUAUGUAAGUUGUGUCGCAGUGAGAGCACUGCCAACCUGCUGAAUAUCCAGCCUCACUUGAAGAACCUCGCAAUGGGCUCCACCUGUGAUCAGGAGGAUUUCAGCCCAGCCAGAUUCCCCCUUGAUGUUUAAUUGAUGUUUCCUUGCAUCUGCUCUUCAGUAAAGAUGCAGGAAGAGACGGUAUUGUUGAGCCUUUUCAGGGUUUAAGGGUUGUGACAUUUUCACAGAUCCUAAUAUGAUUUCCUGUUAUUGAUUCUGCUUCUUUUAACCUCAUUAUAUUUAUUUAUUUAAUUUGCUAGUUUGUCAGCUGUUAUUGACCCCCAUUUGAUGUACAACAUUUUCUAAUUAGUCUUCUUUUCCUGCAUCAAAUAUGUUGGAGCAAUACAUUGGAGCAAUGUGCUGAUUUUGAUGAAACUUUCAAUUAGUGAUGCAUCCUGUUGAUUGGUCAAAAGGGAUCCUGGAUUGUUUUGUGUAAACCAACAUAUAUAUAUUAUUUAUAUUGUUUGUUUUUUGUCUUUGACACCAUGUAACAGGAACUGGAGGAUUGGAAAUUUCUAAAUUAAACUUUGUGGAGCUUCUUCAUAUCCUUAUAGAGAAAGAUGUUUUUCAAGGUCAGACACACUAUUACUAUAAUUAAAAAUCAGCUGUAUGUGUGUAAGAGAUGUUUCACCUUCCUUUUUCCCCAAGAGGUCUUCCCCAUCCACUGUAGCCAGCAGUAUGAAGCAACAUCGCAGUCAUUAGUAUGGAAAUUAAUUUCUAGAUUGGAUAAACUUUUUCCUGUACUGGAUAUUAAACAGGUACUGUACAUUCUUAAAUAAUAAACAGUGCUUUGGUCAUUUCCUGAAAACUAUGCAAAGGUACCAUUCCAAAAACAUCUCUUGUGUGAACCGCAGAUAAUUUGACAGAAGUUGUUGUUAAUUUCUGACUUUAAGUAUUUGUUUUAAGUGAUUUAGCACCUGAUUUUUUAUUUUUUUGUAUGACUGGGUAAUGCUACAUGGCCUAUGCAGAUGGUUAAAAAUUGUAGCAA